CCUACGGGAGGCUGCAGUGGGGAAUAUUGCGCAAUGGGCGAAAGCCUGACGCAGCGACGCCGCGUGAGGGAUGAAGGUCUUCGGAUCGUAAACCUCUGUCAGCAGGGAAGAACGGUCACUGUGCUAAUCAGCAGUGAAUUGACGGUACCUGCAAAGGAAGCACCGGCUAACUCCGUGCCAGCAGCCGCGGUAAUACGGAGGGUGCGAGCGUUAAGCGGAAUUACUGGGCGUAAAGCGCUCGUAGGCGGUAUGGCAAGUCAAGGGUGAAAUCCCCGCGCUCAACGUGGGAACUGCCUUUGAAACUGGCAAACUGGAGUGUGUGAGAGGAUAGUGGAAUUCCAGGUGUAGGAGUGAAAUGCGUAGAUAUCUGGAGGAACAUCAGUGGCGAAGGCGACUAUCUGGCACAUAACUGACGCUGAGGAGCGAAAGCGUGGGUAGCAAACAGGAUUAGAUACCCCGGUAGUC
rnacentral:rRNA from 1 species